UUUAAAAAUUCUCAAACAGAAUGUUAACACAUUUGAAGAUUAAAUUUUCGAGCAAAAUGUUAACACGUAUAAAUAUGUUAGCGUUUUGUUUAAGAAAGAGUUAACAUUCCAACUUUUUUUUAAUAAGUUGUAACGCGCUCUCAUACACAAUAGUGAUUUACUUUCACACAGAAGGUUCAGGUAUCAACUUUAUUUCAGCACAAAAUCUCAUACGAUUUCAUCAAAUCCGAGAACACCGGACGCAUAUCAUCCACCCAGCACGUGCCAUUGCUUCACGGUUGCACCGCAUCAUAAUAAUAUAAUAUAAUUUCCGCAAAGUUCACUCUCUCCCUCCUUUCUCCCCUGCUUCUCCGGGAUAGAGAGAAGCAAGUGAGGUCAAGAGAGGAAGAGAGAGAGAGAGAGAGAGAGAGAGAGAGAGAGAGAAACAGGAUGAGAGAGCACCAAGGAGGGUUUGCGGUGGCAGCAGCACGAGGCGAAAGCAGAUUAGCGUGAAUAAUGAAGACACGACCCCGUGAAAGCCUAAGCGGGCCUCCUUAAGUCUGUUCCUUCGAGUAGAAGCCGAAGCCGGAAAGGAGGAAGGAGGGGGGAAAUGCUGGGAGGGAGGUGAAGCGGACAGAAAGGAGGUAGAAGCAGUUAAUUACUCCUCCCAUCCACGGGAUAACGACUUCCCCUUAUUUGUCGAGAGGCGCAAACAGCCAACCCUCUGCGAAAUCCCUUGCCAAGACGCUUUCUCCAGUGUAUAUACAUACAUUUGGCUUCAUAUGUAUAUACAUAUGCAUAUAUAUAUAUAUAAAUAUAUGUACAUGCGCGCGCGUGUAUACACGUGUAUAAACUCCGUGUAUACGCACAUAUAUAUGUAUACUCGUAUAAGGUAGAGGCACGACGAAGGACUCUGUCCAUCUUGGAGCUCCGGCAUCGUGUCGACCGACCGCUUGUCUCGAUCGAUCGAUCGAUCGAUCGAUCGGAAUUCUCAAAGUAAGCCCGACUGCUGCCUCGUUAUGUCGCGCAUGAAGCUGCAACUGCUCCAAGAUGGAUCAAAUGUGGGGCACCGUUAAGACGAUUGCAGAGACGCAGAACGUUUCGCGAGGUAGACGUUACGCCCAAAUGAUUUCAACCCUGAUAGACUUAUAUGUCGCGCUUUAGCAUCCAAACGUUGUACAGCACGAGCGCGAGAUGAUUCGUAGUGUCAGUUAAUAAGUAUAAAAAAAUAUUAUUGAGAAUAUGUUGUAUUAAGUUAUUAUUGAUUAUUAUUGAUUUUAUUGUUAAUUAUUAUGAUUUUAAGUGUCAAUUAAUAUAAAACUGAUUAGCGCGUGGUAGCUAUGAAUUUCUCAUAAUUUCAUAACAGAAAGCAAUGUUUUCUGGAUUAAUCAAUUAGAGUAAUUAACAGCGACGAGAAACGUGUAGCUACAAACGAAUAUGACCGGUCGAAAAUUUUUAGCAACUAUCGACUUAUCGAAUAGUAAGAUGUCCGCGGAUUCUAAGUAUACAGAGAAUGUAGAAGCGCGACUAUGUUCACGUCGUACCGCGUACGACAUCACUUACGCCAUCAUCUUCGAUCUUUCUGCGUCGAACAGCCGCCAUUGAUACAUCGAUCGACAUCACUCCGCGCUUUAUGCGUCUUUUGUCCGUUAAAAGUGAGUUUCGUGCGGAAAUAAGUAUCGAGAGUGUCGUAAAUAGCAAUGUGCGAUCGUUGGGGCGUAUCGUGAGUACGUUAUUAAGGAGUAAUUUCCUCGUUUCUCAUACAUGCAAUCGGUGCAUGUCGAGUCGGCGUCUCUUAGGCUUGUAUUAACAGUUGUUACUUGAAUCUCGUCUCAAGUGAGAGAUACUCAGAUUCGAUUUCAGAGUUAGAUGAGAGUUUUUCAGUUGAAUCGCGAUUACAGAUCUAAAUAUCAUAAUCCAACUAAAAAACUUGGAUCAGCUUUAUUUAAGAAUCUGAAUAUCUCACAUGGAUAAAAAUGUUGUGUCAAUAAAAUCCAACAUCGCCGUAAUUGGAGUAAAUCUUGAUUCAAUGCUAUUGAAACUAAUACUUGAGUCAUCGAGACAAUAUAUUAUGUAUUGGUUUCAAUGGUAUAUCGCUGUUGAAUCAGGAAAAUUUACUUUAAUUACGACGAUACUGGCAAUUUCUAUUGAUACAACAGCAUUUUUUUCGUGCAUAUGAAACAAGUUUCAGAUGACAACUAUUAAUAUGGAGCUUAGAUCUAUAUUAAUAAUUGCUAUUUGAAAUUUGUCCUAAGUAAAAUACUCGAAUCUAAAUUUAAAGUUGGAUUUGAGUUUUUUAUUUGAAUCACAUAUGCCACAAAGCAUUUGUAGUCAUGAUUUAGAUGGAAAACUUGCACUCAACUUUAAAAAAAUCUGUAUAUCUCACAUGAGACAAGUUUCAGGUAAUAAAUAACUAUUAAUAAGGAUCUUAGACCUGUGUUAAUAGUUGCUAUUUGAAACCUGCUUCAGAUGAGAUAUUCAAAUUUUUACUUAGAGUUAGAUAUGAAUUUUCAGCUGAGUUGCGAUUACAAAUGUAACAUGUUGCAUAUAUUAUGUAUAUUUCAAUGAUAAAGAUCCCAAAUCUAACUUUAAAUUAAGAUCUGAGUCUUCACGUAGGACAAGCUUCAAAUAAGGACUAUUAUAAUAUAGACUCUACUUGUUCAAAUAAGGACUAUUGUAAUACGGACUUCACUUGUUAUUAUCUCAUCGACUCAUUCAAGUAGUAGUAAAAUCUGACGAUCGUCAGAUUUAUUAUUCGAGAAUUAGAUACGCGAUGACAAUCAGAGAGAAAUAGAAAUAGAUUUAAAUGACGUCAGCGAGAUCUUGGUGUAUAAGCGAGCAUACCUGAUGAUAUCUAUUCUCAAUUUUUUCUCUAAAAUUUACUCAGGCGAUUUCCAUUCUUCUCCAAAGGUUCAUUCCGCGCGGACAAGGCGAGGCGCGCAAACUCACAUCGUCGACCGCCGUUGAGCCUCGCUCGUAAGAAAGUCGAGGAGGGCCCAUCGACAGCUAUGCCGGAGGACGAUACGGUGGUAGCACAUGUUGCACCGGGGCCGCGCAUGCAACGAAACAAAUGUUAGUUGCAUCGAGCGCAUAGAACGUCGUAACUAUUCGGACCGGUGUUCCUCGGCGUGGUUGACGCGAACGCACCACCGGAAGAGCCCAGACGAGAGAGCGAGCGUGCCUGAUCUGCAUCGCAAGCGCGAGGACCACAGCAACAUGCCGUACACACCACUGCAGACAAACACCGUCGGUAUCCCUUGACCUAUUCAACAGCCAGCACGAAACCGGAACGGAAAAGAGUUCCAGCACACCCGGUAGAUGGUAGCGCAAGGCCGUAGGACGGUUUUCUCGGGGGUAGGAGCGAGGACCUGUCACAUUACGGAGUGGAAUUUAUGCCCGAUGCCCAGCGGCGUGACAAGUUGCCUCUGAUGAACGGCCCCACCGCGAACUCUUGGCCCUCUACAAGGAGAAUAAGGAGGAGGCAGGGAGCGCAGAAGGUCGAUCACUCGCUGCAUAACAGUCGGGGACGAAACGAUAAUGAGUGGGAGAGAAAGAGAGAGAAAGGGGAACACACAAAUAAAUUCACUGGGAGAAAUAAAUAUUGAGCCUCGAGAAAUAAUAUCGUGAACGCUGCUUCAUUCUGGACCCUACGCUAAAAUUAGCCAAUAAUCGGAACCCCCCUCCCCCGCGCGCGCGUUCUCCUGUACUUCGCGCAGAGAAUCCGCGCGAAAACAUAAAUAACGCAACUCAGACGUCUGGAGGCGUAACGAGGGGAAAUUAACGAGGAGAUGGAACGAGAGACGGAUCAGAACGACGGCUACAAAACUCAGGACGAUCGUGCGAAUCGCGAGCAACCGACUGAUGGUGGGAGCCUCGUUGAAUAUAGAGUGAAUAUAGAGUAUCACGCGCAAGCCUUCCCAUCACAUAUACACGAGAUCAAUAAGUAUGGACGGUGGAUAAGACUCUCGACAUGUGUGUAAAGGAACGACGAUUCGCGCCCGACCGAGGGAAAUGCAGAGUGGAGCCAUGAAGCGUUCGCUGAUAAAUGAUGAGGAAAACGCAAGGGAAUGAGGUCGCCCAAAUGUUUCGACGGCCUCCGGCCGAGUGUCAACGUGAGUCACGCCAACGAGACUUGUCGAGAUCCGCGUGUCUGUCGGACGCAAGCUGCACUUCGCCCUCUGCCGUUCAGAUCGACAGAGUCAGCGGAAAAUUCGCCCCCAAGUGCGUGAACGCAAGAAGCCUGCACUUGGUAGCGAGUUCGAGGGGGAGGAAGGGAGGGAAGAGGGCCUCGAGGGGGACGAUUUCAGACUCGACGCGAUCGCUGAAAUUUCAUUUGUGGCAAGCGCGCGAGUAGGAUUCGCGUGAGUCUACGAGUGCGUGCGUUGAUUUCGCCAGUGCGACACGAGCGCGAAGGAAAGUCUAUCAGCAUCGAUAUCUCUCCGGUUGACGGCGAUUCUAGCGGAAGGGUCGUUAGAACGCCAAGCAGGUCGGGAGAGACUCGCGGCGCACGCGAGCCGAUAAUUCACGAUAUUUCUCUCUCCCCCGCUGUCGACUCGAUACCGCCGGCCUGUAAUUUGCCGGCGCAUCGACAUCUCGAAAGUACCCGGCUCUGAUUAGCUCUCCGAGUGUUGAGUGCGUGCGUGCGUGCUUGCGUACGUGCGGCGUGCGUGUGUACGUGUGUGUGCGCGCACACAGCCUGGUAAUCGCGAGCGACUCGGAUUCCGGAGCGGCUGGGGAGAGACACGUACGCCGUUUUACGAUGUGAUCGUCGUUUUCUUAGCAGUUAAAGCGCGAUGAUAGGGUCCAGAAGCAUUGUCACGAUAGCGCAUAUGCGAGAUUAUCGUUCGCUCGUGUGCGGCAGAAGGACGUCGGGAGAGCGUUCGCGUCGUGAUUCGGCAGAACCUGCCUCGCUGUUGUUCUCGCGUAUUCCGCGGAACGGGAAGGGAAGAUGGAUGUGUGCGUACCGUUUGCGAAACGUUAUCUCGUUCGUUAUACACAUGGAGAAAGAGAGAGGUAGGAGACUGCCGUGCCGAAUAAUGACGCGAACGCUCACUCGGAAUUGGCGCGUGUACGGUGCGCUGCAGGGGGUCCUCGUUACAAAUCGGAAUCAAAGGUCAACGGAAAGAGAAUAGAAGCGGAGAGAAAUGCCUUCACUCAUUUAUAAACAAUCGUACGUGUGCAACAGUUUGCCGAAAUCUAUCGAGAGACAAGUAUAAAACCUGAACCGGAAACUUAUCCCAACUGAUCCUGAUCGACCAGAGGUUAAUCGGUUGUCUGGUUUGCAAGAGGUGAUGUCACCGGCUCCCGAUAAGUGCUGUAACGCGUGGCAAUCAGAGGACCUUAUCAGUCAUGAUCGUUAAUUAUAGGGCUCGAUGACAUCGCCUCUUGCAAGCCAGAUAACUGUUCGGGAUCGACCAGGACAUCCAUGGGGUAGAUUUCUGGUCGGAGAUCAACGAAAUUCGUGGCGGAGCGAUGCGUCUGUCAGCUGCUGCUCCGUCGGACGGCCAAGCUCCGUUUAACCGACGUACAAGCAAGUAAGUGAAGCACGACAAUGAGUGAAGCGCGCGCGCGCGCGAGUGACUUUCGCGAUGAAAUUCGCCCGCAAAUGCCACCGCACCUUCGAAUGUCACAAUAAAACGCGGAUCCCCUGCUGACAACCGGCCCAAGGCGCCAGAACGAAUCUCGAGGUGUUGCGAAUCGCGGAAAAGUCGGCAAAACGUCCGGCUGUGUCUCGCGCGGAGAGGCCGUCGCAUUCUCAUUGUUUGGAACCCGAACAUAAAACCCGUACAAUCCGAAUAUCGCUGAGGCGGCAUCAGCCUCGUAGAGAGCGGUCGCCGCGAUGCCUUCUACCUGACCGCUCUGCGAGUUUCGCGUUAGAUAUGUCUGUCGGUCACGGAGAGAGUGUUGCCUUAAAAUUUUCCUCAUAAAUCUUUUUCUAGAGCUGGAGAUUAUACUGACAUUGUAACGCAAAUUACUGUAGAAAUAAUAAAUUUGACAAUCUCUGCAUAAUAAGAAAAGAAACAUUAUAAUAACUGCAAUAAUUUUGUAGUAGAGAUUAGUCAAACGUGUAUAAUUUAUGUGUAUACAUUUCGAAAAAAAAAUUUAUAGUAAUUUCAGUUAGAAUUAUGCAUAGUCCAAGAUUGUAAAAAUUUCAUUGUGACAUUUUUAACGCAAUAUUUUCUCCGUUGCAAAACUGUUCAGACACAAUGAAGUUGGAACAUCUCAAUACGCGAACUGUCUAGAUUGAGGGUCGUUACUGAUGGGCUUGCGCGAUAAUUGCAUUAUUAAUGAUUAUUUAUGUAAAUUACUAUUAUUAGUUUAUAUUAUUAAUGAUGUUAUUACCGCGCAAGCUCGCGUCGGUAGUGAUUCUCGAUUUUGACGGUUCGGUGAGCUCGGGACUUCACCGUGUCCGAGCCAGUGUUUUGCGAGCGACUAUACGCAAUCCCAGAGUCGUCGUACACGUCGAGAGAGAGAAUUCGUUUGACAAUGCGAGGAGAACGAUGUUGUAUCGGUGUCGAACAUAAAUAUUAGACUCGCGGAUACAUAGAAACAACAUUCCGACGAGCAAUUCGUCCGAACAUGCCAGAAUAUUCUGUUAGAAUUACUAUCGGCGUAGGAUCCGAUUUACAGGACGAAAAAUAGACUGCACAAUUAGAAAGAUAGAAAGAACAGUUUUUGUUCUCGCGUCCUCGGCGUGACUUUCUACGAAAAUUUGCGCAACGCCGCUUGCGAUCAGCAAAGUGAAUCGCGCUAGUAUGCUUCCUACCAAAGGACAAAACAAUCGAUAAUGUUAAUCUACAAUGUGACGAGCGACGAUUAGACAACAUUGAUAUCUCGGUUUCGACGAUCAAACUCCGCGAAAAGAAAGAUGUGGCGAUCUCUCGUAUAAGAAACAGAUUGUCAUCGACUGAACGAUCUGACAGAACCUCCGAAAUAACCCAAGGGAGGUGAGCGCCAAGACACAGCCGGCCGCGAGAGCGUCCUCGAGCGCGCGACGUCCUUAUCGACCUUCCGCGAGCGAGCGAGCGAGCGAGCGAUGAAGCGAGAAUUCGGUAAAAGCGAACGCAGGCGAGCAGGAAGUAUAUCGGCGAGAGAAAGAGAGAUAGAAGGAAUUAUUAGCCUUUAUUACAAGGGACGGUAAGUAUGCUUACA